rnacentral:rRNA from 1 species
UCAGUAGCACGUGGCUAACCUGCCCUUGGGACGGAAACAACCCCGGGAAACUGGGGCCAAUUUCCGAUAGGUGAAGAUACCUGGAAUGGUUUUUUGCCCAAAAGACGUUUGGGUCAUGCUUCUAGACGUUGCCCAAGGAUGGGGCCGCGGCCGAUCAGGCUGUUGGUGAGGUAAUGGCUCACCAAACCUUUGACCGGUUCGGGCCGUGGGAGCGGUAGCCCGGAGAUGGGCACUGAGACAAGGGCCCAGGCCCUACGGGGCGCAGCAGUCGCGAAAACUUCGCAAUAAGCGAAAGCUUGACGGGGCCAUCCCGAGUGCCAUCUGCUGAGGAUGGCUUUUACCCAGUAUAGAUAGCUGGGGGAAUAAGGAGAGGGCAAGUCUGGUGUCAGCCCGCCGCGGUAAUACCAGCUCUCCGAGUUGUGGGGACGUUUAAUUGAGCCUGAAGCAUCCGUAGCCCGGCUGGGCUAGUCCCCUGUUAAAUCCAGCGAUAAAUCGUUGGCCUGCGGAGGGAUACUGCUCGGCUAGGGGGCCGGGAGAGGCCGUCGGUAUUCUUGGGGUAGGGGUGAAAUCCUAUAAUCCCAGGAGGACCACCAGUGGCGAAGGCUGUCGGCUAGAACGCGCUCGACGGUGAGGGAUGAAAGCUGGGGGAGCGAACCGGAUUAGAUACCCGGGUAGUCCCAGCUGUAAACGAUGCAGGCUAGGUGUUAGGGCGGCUACGUGCCGCUCUAGUGCCGCAGGGAAGCUUGUUAAGCCUGCCGCUUGGGGAGUACGGCCCGCAGGCUGAAACUUAA